GAUGAACGCUGGCGGCGUGCCUAAUACAUGCAAGUCGAGCGAAUGGAUUAAGAGCUUGCUCUUAUGAAGUUAGCGGCGGACGGGUGAGUAACACGUGGGUAACCUGCCCAUAAGACUGGGAUAACUCCGGGAAACCGGGGCUAAUACCGGAUAACAUUUUGAACCGCAUGGUUCGAAAUUGAAAGGCGCGUUCGGCUGUCACUUAUGGAUGGACCCGCGUCGCAUUAGCUAGUUGGUGAGGUAACGGCUCACAAAGGCAACGAUGCGUAGCCGACCUGAGAGGGUGAUCGGCCACACUGGGACUGAGACACGGCCCAGACUCCUACGGGAGGCAGCAGUAGGGAAUCUUCCGCAAUGGACGCAAGUCUGACGGAGCAACGCCGCGUGAGUGAAGAAGGGUUUCGGCUCGUAAAACUCUGUUGUUAAGGAAGAACGCCAGGUAGAGUAACUGCUACCUGUGUGACGGUACUUAACCAGAAAGCCACGGCUAACUACGUGCCAGCCGCCGCCGUAA
rnacentral:rRNA from 1 species